GGAAAGGCGCGCGAUACAGGGUGACAGCCCCGUACACAAAAAUGCACAUGCUGUGAGCUCGAUGAGUAGGGCGGGACACGUGGUAUCCUGUCUGAAUAUGGGGGGACCAUCCUCCAAGGCUAAAUACUCCUGACUGACCGAUAGUGAACCAGUACCGUGAGGGAAAGGCGAAAAGAACCCCGGCGAGGGGAGUGAAAAAGAACCUGAAACCGUGUACGUACAAGCAGUGGGAGCCUCUUUUAUGGGGUGACUGCGUACCUUUUGUAUAAUGGGUCAGCGACUUAUAUUCUGUAGCAAGGUUAACCGAAUAGGGGAGCCGAAGGGAAACCGAGUCUUAACUGGGCGUUAAGUUGCAGGGUAUAGACCCGAAACCCGGUGAUCUAGCCAUGGGCAGGUUGAAGGUUGGGUAACACUAACUGGAGGACCGAACCGACUAAUGUUGAAAAAUUAGCGGAUGACUUGUGGCUGGGGGUGAAAGGCCAAUCAAACCGGGAGAUAGCUGGUUCUCCCCGAAAGCUAUUUAGGUAGCGCCUCGUGAAUUCAUCUCCGGGGGUAGAGCACUGUUUCGGCAAGGGGGUCAUCCCGACUUACCAACCCGAUGCAAACUGCGAAUACCGGAGAAUGUUAUCACGGGAGACACACGGCGGGUGCUAACGUCCGUCGUGAAGAGGGAAACAACCCAGACCGCCAGCUAAGGUCCCAAAGUCAUGGUUAAGUGGGAAACGAUGUGGGAAGGCCCAGACAGCCAGGAUGUUGGCUUAGAAGCAGCCAUCAUUUAAAGAAAGCGUAAUAGCUCACUGGUCGAGUCGGCCUGCGCGGAAGAUGUAACGGGGCUAAACCAUGCACCGAAGCUGCGGCAGCGACACUAUGUGUUGUUGGGUAGGGGAGCGUUCUGUAAGCCUGCGAAGGUGUGCUGUGAGGCAUGCUGGAGGUAUCAGAAGUGCGAAUGCUGACAUAAGUAACGAUAAAGCGGGUGAAAAGCCCGCUCGCCGGAAGACCAAGGGUUCCUGUCCAACGUUAAUCGGGGCAGGGUGAGUCGACCCCUAAGGCGAGGCCGAAAGGCGUAGUCGAUGGGAAACAGGUUAAUAUUCCUGUACUUGGUGUUACUGCGAAGGGGGGACGGAGAAGGCUAUGUUGGCCGGGCGACGGUUGUCCCGGUUUAAGCGUGUAGGCUGGUUUUCCAGGCAAAUCCGGAAAAUCAAGGCUGAGGCGUGAUGACGAGGCACUACGGUGCUGAAGCAACAAAUGCCCUGCUUCCAGGAAAAGCCUCUAAGCAUCAGGUAACAUCAAAUCGUACCCCAAACCGACACAGGUGGUCAGGUAGAGAAUACCAAGGCGCUUGAGAGAACUCGGGUGAAGGAACUAGGCAAAAUGGUGCCGUAACUUCGGGAGAAGGCACGCUGAUAUGUAGGUGAAGUCCCUCGCGGAUGGAGCUGAAAUCAGUCGAAGAUACCAGCUGGCUGCAACUGUUUAUUAAAAACACAGCACUGUGCAAACACGAAAGUGGACGUAUACGGUGUGACGCCUGCCCGGUGCCGGAAGGUUAAUUGAUGGGGUCAGCGCAAGCGAAGCUCUUGAUCGAAGCCCCGGUAAACGGCGGCCGUAACUAUAACGGUCCUAAGGUAGCGAAAUUCCUUGUCGGGUAAGUUCCGACCUGCACGAAUGGCGUAAUGAUGGCCAGGCUGUCUCCACCCGAGACUCAGUGAAAUUGAACUCGCUGUGAAGAUGCAGUGUACCCGCGGCAAGACGGAAAGACCCCGUGAACCUUUACUAUAGCUUGACACUGAACAUUGAGCCUUGAUGUGUAGGAUAGGUGGGAGGCUUUGAAGUGUGGACGCCAGUCUGCAUGGAGCCGACCUUGAAAUACCACCCUU
rnacentral:rRNA from 1 species